UUUUGGUUCCUGAUAACAUUUGUUGGAAACUUUUCGUACAGCGGUUGUCCAAUGUGAAUUGUCCUGGCUCGGAGUUCCCUUUCUCUGCAACAUCGUCGCCACAUCCAUGUGCAACAUCUGUAACGAAACGUUGCGAUCAAUGUUUGGACAAUUGGGCACAAUGUUAAGAAUGACGUCAUGUUCAAGUGUAAAGGCAAGACUAUUUUGCAUUGGAAACGUAAAGAAGCAAGCUUUUUCCACGACGCAAUUAAAACGAAGUGAAAGAUAAGCUCACAAUUAGCAGAAGGACAGAAAAUAUUUUUGCAGGAGAUUUCCAUUGCGGUAAAAAAAAGAGAAAACUAGUAGAAUAAAAAAAAAAGACAAAAAAAAAAA